rnacentral:snoRNA from 1 species
AUUCUGUGAUGAGGGCACUUCCGUAAUAAUUCUUUGUACCUUUCCCAUGCCGCAUACAAUGAUUCAUCAUCCAUUUGUUGGAAAGUAGUGAUCCCGUUCCUCAACUU